rnacentral:rRNA from 1 species
AACGAACGCUGGCGGCGUGCUUAACACAUGCAAGUCGAACGGGUUCAUAAUGAGUAGCAAUACUUGAUAUGAAUUAGUGGCGGACGGGUGAGUAACACGUAGGUAACCAACCCUCAAGCGGGGGACAACUCUUCGAAAGGAGAGCUAAUACCGCAUAAGACCACGGACUGGGAUGUCUGUGGUAAAAGGAGCAAUUCACUUGAGGAUGGGCCUGCGGCCUAUCAGGUAGUUGGCGGGGUAACGGCCCACCAAGCCUAAGACGGGUAGCCGGACUGAGAGGUUGAACGGCCACACUGGAACUGAGACACGGUCCAGACUCCUACGGGUGGCAG